GAUGAAGAACGCAGCGAAACGCGAUAAGUAAUGUGAAUUGCAGAAUCCAGUGAAUCAUCGAAUCUUUGAACGCACAUUGCGCCCGCCAGCAUUCUGGCGGGCAUGCCUGUUCGAGCGUCAUUUCAACCCUCGACCUCCCCUUGGGGAGGUCGGCGUUGGGGACCGGCAGCACACCGCCGGCCCUGAAAUGGAGUGGCGGCCCGUCCGCGGCGACCUCUGCGCAGUAAUACAGCUCGCACCGGGACCCCGACGCGGCCACGCCGUAAAACACCCAACUUCUGAACGUUGACCUCGAAUCAGGUAGGACUACCCGCUGAACUUAAGCAUAUCAUAAGCGGAGGA
rnacentral:misc_RNA from 1 species